rnacentral:rRNA from 1 species
AGUGAACGCUGGCGGCGUGCCUAAUACAUGCAAGUCGAACGGACGAGUAAGAGCUUGCUCUUAUGAGUUAGUGGCGCACGGGUGAGUAAUGUAUAGCUAAUCUGCCCUACACUAGAGGACAACAGUUGGAAACGACUGCUAAUACUCUAUACUCCUUUCUAGCAUAAGUUAGAUAGGGAAAGUUUUUCGGUGUAGGAUGAGGCUAUAUUGUAUCAGCUAGUUGGUGAGGUAAUGGCCCACCAAGGCUAUGACGCAUAACUGGUCUGAGAGGAUGAUCAGUCACACUGGAACUGAGACACGGUCCAGACUCCUACGGGAGGCAGCAGUAGGGAAUAUUGCUCAAUGGGGGAAACCCUGAAGCAGCAACGCCGCGUGGAGGAUGACACUUUUCGGAGCGUAAACUCCUUUUGUUAGGGAAGAACAAUGACGGUACCUAACGAAUAAGCACCGGCUAACUCCGUGCCAGCAGCCGCGGUAAUACGGAGGGUGCAAGCGUUACUCGGAAUCACUGGGCGUAAAGGACGCGUAGGCGGAUUAUCAAGUCUCUUGUGAAAUCCUAUGGCUUAACCAUAGAACUGCUUGGGAAACUGAUAAUCUAGAGUGAGGGAGAGGCAGAUGGAAUUGGUGGUGUAGGGGUAAAAUCCGUAGAGAUCACCAGGAAUACCCAUUGCGAAGGCGAUCUGCUGGAACUCAACUGACGCUAAUGCGUGAAAGCGUGGGGAGCAAACAGG